UGCUCUCAACAUGCACAUAGUGUACAGAGCGGUUGCACAAGCCUCUGUACAAUCUUCUCUACUGACAGUUCAGGGACAGAACCCGACCUGUCCGGUGGAUCGUUUUAACCAUAUAAAGAUACACAGGGCUUUCAUAGUGCAUCAAUAAGCACUGCAUAUACGUAUCUUUCAUAUAUGAAGUCAUGCUGAAGGAAUUAUUUAAGGAUCGUGCCAAACCCUCUGAAGAUUUCUCUUUAGUUUGUCAUGACUUUGUCUCAGCGUUAGUGUUACUUCAUAAGACUGCUCUGUCUGUAUUUCUUUUUUCUCUUUUUGUCUUAUUAUCGAGCAAGCAACAGUCCGUCCACAUCGAUGUUUACUGAUGGACGGAGUCUCCACUGUCAGCGAUGAGUAACGCUCAGAGGUACCGCUGUAACUUCAAGAGACAGUUAGGUAAGGAAUGUUUACAGCUGCGAUAACUGAAGUGAUAACAGGAAGUAAUUUGUCUCACAGAUAUUCCACAACUUUAAAUGCAACUACGAAUGGACAAAUCGUAUGUACUUUCUUUUAAUAAAUAAGAAAUGAUCAUCUUUAGCAAACUGCUGUGGUGUAAGAGGAAUAAAACACUUCGGGACAUGCUGUUACAGGGAAAUCAUCACUGCUGGAGUCGCGACAAACUAACAACUUGCAUGAACAUCUGGAACAUUCUGGAACAUUCUACCUGACUUCACUUCACUUCGCAGCUGUAUUUUGAAUCAAACCGAGGAUCCAUAGAGAACCACACAGCCAUUUCUUCUCCUUUUUUUUUUUUUUUUGACCGGUACACCCGUCCCCCUCACACACCCCUCACCCCCCCUCCGCCUUUUCUCUUCUCCAGCUCAUGGAUCACUGGGUAGCUUAGGAAUACAGGCCCCCAUACAAAAGCUGCAGCUGACAUGUGGACCUUAAUGGCAAUAAUGGCCAUUUUUAAGCCCAAUCAAUCACAUUUAGUGGACGUCUCCAUUUUUUGGUGUCUGAAAAGGUAUAAAUAAUAAUAAUGAUUCCAAAAAAAAAAAAAAAAAAAAAAAAAGAGUGGGGAGGGAAAGAGAAAAGAAAGCUGGAGGAAGAGCCCAGGCGAGGGAGAGAAAAGCAGCUCUGUAAAUAUUUUAACUGCUUAUUAAGAUUUGGAGGGCACUACAAAGGGAGCAUCUGUGAAGUAGGGAGCAUGCUGAAAAGGAAACGAUCCAGAUGGUUCCAGGGAAAUCCGAUCUGCAGAUGGAAAAAGGAGUAAAAGCUUUAUUUAUUCAUUUAUUUAUCCGCACAUUUAUUGUUGUUCUAAGUUGUAUGCUGGAAGACGGAGAGACUCCAGAGCUGUCUCUCUUUCCAUCUCUCUGUGUGUGUGUGUGUGUGUGUGUGUGUGUGUGUGAACCCUCUACGAUUGUGUAAAUUGAUUCCCAGGUCUCUCAGGCUUGUGACGGAGGCCAGGAUUCUCCUUGCAGCCCAUAAAGUGUGCACUGAAUACCCUCGUUUGUUUAUCUUCGCCAGACUCGGAUAGUUCUGUGUCUCUUCGGCCUCGUCUUUACGAGCUGCCGCGGCCUGCGGUGCGCUCCGUAGACACGCAACAUGCAGGGAGGGCUG